CCGAAGUUUCCCUCACGAUAGCUGGCGCCAACAGGAGAAUGAUUCUCAAUUUCGUCCGGUAAAGUGAAUGACUGGAGGCCCCGGGGACGUUGACAGCCUCGAUCUACUCUCGAACUCGGAACAGGCGAAACGGGCCGCUCCUCUCCCGAUCGGAGUCGGCCAUUGCAACGCAGCGAAUGCACGGUGUCAAGUGGGCCACUUUUGGUAAGCAGAACUGGUGAUGUGGGGUGAACUGAACGUCCGGUUAAGGUGCCCUACGCUUCGCUCAUUAGAUCCCCGAAAGGGUGUCGGUCGAUAUAGACAGCAGGACGGUGGCUACGGAAGUCGGAAUCCGCUCAGGAGUGUGUAACAACUGACCUACCGAAUCGACCAGCCCCGAAAAUGGAUGGCACUGGAGCGAGCAACCGAUGUCGGACCGGCCGGG
rnacentral:rRNA from 1 species